rnacentral:rRNA from 1 species
AUGUGGUUUAAUUCGUAUGCAACGCGAAGAACCUUACCUAGGCUUGACAUGCAGGGGACGAGGUGUAGAAUACAUCCUUCCUUCGGGACCCUGCACAGGUGCUGCAUGGCUGUCGUCAGCUCGUGUCGUGAAAUGUUGGUUAAGUCCCGCAACGAGCGCAACCCCUGUCUUUAGUUGCCAUCAGGUUAUGCUGGGGACUCUAGAGAGACUGCCGGUGACAAACCGGAGGAAGGUGGGGAUGACGUCAAGUCAUCAUGGCCCUUACGGGCUGGGCUACACACGUGCUACAAUGGCGGUGACAAUGGGAAGCAAUGGCGCGAGCCGGAGCCGAUCCUUAAAAACCGUCUCAGUUCGGAUUGCACUCUGCAACUCGAGUGCAUGAAGGUGGAAUCGCUAGUAAUCGAGGAUCAGCAUGCCUCGGUGAAUACGUUCCCGGGCCUU